UACGGAAGGCAGCAGUGGGGAAUAUUGCACAAUGGGCGCAAGCCUGAUGCAGCCAUGCCGCGUGUAUGAAGAAGGCCUUCGGGUUGUAAAGUACUUUCAGUCGUGAGGAAGGUGUUAAGGUUAAUAACCUUAGCAAUUGACGUUAGCGACAGAAGAAGCACCGGCUAACUCCGUGCCAGCAGCCGCGGUAAUACGGAGGGUGCGAGCGUUAAUCGGAAUUACUGGGCGUAAAGGGCACGCAGGCGGUUAAUUAAGUUGGAUGUGAAAUCCCCGGGCUUAACCUGGGAAUGGCAUUCAAGACUGGUUAGCUAGAGUCUUGUAGAGGGGGUAGAAUUCCAUGUGUAGCGGUGAAAUGCGUAGAGAUGUGGAGGAAUACCGGUGGCGAAGGCGGCCCCUGGGACAAAGACUGACGCUCAUGUGCGAAAGCGUGGGGAGCAAACAGGAUUUUAGAUACC
rnacentral:rRNA from 1 species